rnacentral:ncRNA from 2 species
GUGGACAGCCAAAUAGCAUCUCGUAUAAGCCGAAGAAUAUGGCUUCGGCGUCUCUACCAGAUGACCGUAAAUCAUCUGACUACGAGAGAAAGUGUGCCUAGG